AGACUGAGGUUCGUAGAUGCGUGAUUUAUGGCAGACUGACGCUUACUUCUUGACCAAUGAGCAUCCGCCCAGAAUCUCUCCCCAUCCUUAAGCCAAUGAACGUACUGCUUGGACUCUGACUGGACUUCCCGCUCUUUGCACUCUGCCCCAUAAAUGCAGCCUGACUCAAACUCUGAAAGGACCGCUUGGAGCUUGGUGCGGCACGCCUUUGACAAUAGCCAUUGCUCUGCAGCUCUGCAAUCAACUGUAUUUCUGCAGACUUGAAUUUGUAGGUAAAGAAAAAUAACUCAAGAUUCCUGAAGGAACUGUUAGCAUCUCUUUCCUGGAACAAGUACUUAAACCAUGCAUCUCUGAUUCUGGAACCAGGGUUCCUUGAGGAUGGACGGGACAGAAAGAUUCAGAACUGGGAUUUCUUUCAGAAAAAGGUAAGAUUGCCAGUCGUAGAGAUUUAAUGGGACGUGGGUGAAA